rnacentral:rRNA from 1 species
CCUACGGGGAGCAGCAGUGAGGAAUAUUGGUCAAUGGACGCAAGUCUGAACCAGCCAUGCAGCGUGCAGGAAGACGGCUCUAUGAGUUGUAAACUGCUUUUGUACGAGGGUAAACGCAGAUACGUGUAUCUGUCUGAAAGUAUCGUACGAAUAAGGAUCGGCUAACUCCGUGCCAGCAGCCGCGGUAAUACGGAGGAUUCAAGCGUUAUCCGGAUUUAUUGGGUUGAAAGGGUGCGUAGGCGGGCGGUUAAGUUAGUUGUGAAAUCUCGAGGCUCAACUUUGGAAUUGCCUCUGAUACUGUCCGGCUUGAGAGUAGUUGCGGUAGGCGGAAUGUAUGGUGUAGCGGUGAAAUGCUUAGAGAUCAUACAGAACCCCGAUUGCGAAGGCAGCUUACCAAGCUACUACUGACGUUGAUGCACGAAAGUGUGGGGAGCAAACAGGAUUAGAUACCCGUGUAGUC